GUCACGGUAGCUUAGUUGGGAAAGCAAGUGAAGUGUGAUAUUGUAUAAAUCGCAGGGUCGAAUCCUGCUCGUGUUG
rnacentral:tRNA from 1 species